rnacentral:lncRNA from 1 species
AUUCUGUCAUGGGACACACUGAUAAUGACGAGAAAAAAAUGAGUAUAGAUGAACAGCCAUCUCAAACCGAGGAAGAAGCAGGUGAGGAAGCCCCCGUUACUGAAGGAGAGAAGAAAAAGAAUAAGAAGAAGAAAUCUGUUGAGACAGAAGAUGGUGCCGAACCUGAAGACACUCCGAAGAAGAAGAAGAAAAAGAAGAAACAUGCAGAUAAUGAAGUGGACGAAGAUGUUGAAACGGAAAAAAGCAAGAAAAAGAAGAAGAGGAAACAU